rnacentral:piRNA from 1 species
UAGCAUGUACUGAGAUGAGAAUCAAAUUU